rnacentral:rRNA from 1 species
AUUGAACGCUGGCGGCAGGCCUAACACAUGCAAGUCGAGCGGAUGAAGGGAGCUUGCUCCUGGAUUCAGCGGCGGACGGGUGAGUAAUGCCUAGGAAUCUGCCUGGUAGUGGGGGAUAACGUCCGGAAACGGGCGCUAAUACCGCAUACGUCCUGAGGGAGAAAGUGGGGGAUCUUCGGACCUCACGCUAUCAGAUGAGCCUAGGUCGGAUUAGUUAGUUGGUGGGGUAAAGGCCUACCAAGGCGACGAUCCGUAACUGGUCUGAGAGGAUGAUCAGUCACACUGGAACUGAGACACGGUCCAGACUCCUACGGGAGGCAGCAGUGGGGAAUAUUGGACAAGGGGCGAAAGCCUGAUCCAGCCAUGCCGAGUGUGUGAAGAAGGUCUUCGGAUUGUAAAGCACUUUAAGUUGGGAGGAAGGGCAGUAAGUUAAUACCUUGCUGUUUUGACGUUACCAACAGAAUAAGCACCGGCUAACUUCGUG